ACUGCUCAGUAACACGUGGUCAACAUACCCAGAGGACGUGGAUAACCUCGGGAAACUGAGGAUAAACCGCGAUAGACCAUAAUGUCUGGAAUGAUUUAUGGUUCAAAUCUAUAUGGCCUCUGGAUUGGACUGCGGCCGAUCAGGCUGUUGGUGAGGUAAUGGCCCACCAAACCUGAAACCGGUACGGGCUCUGAGAGGAGAAGCCCGGAGAUGGGCACUGAGACAAGGGCCCAGGCCCUAUGGGGCGCAGCAGGCGCGAAACCUUUGCAAUAGGCGAAAGCCUGACAAGGUUACUCUGAGUGAUCUCCGCUAAGGAAAUCUUUUGACACCUCUAAAAAUGGUGUAGAAUAAGGGGUGGGCAAGCCUGGUGUCAGCCGCCGCGGUAAUACCAGCACCCCGAGUGGUCGGGACGAUUAUUGGGCCUAAAGCAUCCGUAGCCGGUUCUUUAAGUCCUCCGUUAAAUCCACCUGCUUAACAGAUGGGCUGCGGAGGAUACUAUAGAGCUAGGAGGCGGGAGAGGCAAGCGGUACUCAGUGGGUAGGGGUAAAAUCCGUUGAUCCAUUGAAGACCACCAGUGGCGAAGGCGGCUUGCCAGAACGCGCUCGACGGUGAGGGAUGAAAGCUGGGGGAGCAAACCGGAUUAGAUACCCGGGUAGUCCCAGCUGUAAACGAUGCAGACUCGGUGAUGAACAGGCUUCGUGCCUGUUCAGUGCCGCAGGGAAGCCGUUAAGUCUGCCGCCUGGGGAGUACGGUCGCAAGACCGAAACUUAAAGGAAUUGGCGGGGGAGCAC
rnacentral:rRNA from 1 species